GACGAACGCUGGCGGCGUGCCUAAUACAUGCAAGUGGGACGCAAGGAAACACACUGUGCUUGCACACCGUGUUUUCUUGAGUCGCGAACGGGUGAGUAACGCGUAGGUAACCUGCCUAUUAGCGGGGGAUAACUAUUGGAAACGCUAGCUAAUACCGCAUAUUAUUAAUUAUUGCAUGAUAAUUGAUUGAAAGAUGCAAGCGCAUCACUAGUAGAUGGACCUGCGUUGUAUUAGCUAGUUGGUAAGGUAAGAGCUUACCAAGGCGACGAUACAUAGCCGACCUGAGAGGGUGAUCGGCCACACUGAGACUGAGACACGGCCCAGACUCCUACGGGAGGCAGCAGUAGGGAAUCUUCGGCAAUGGACGAAAGUCUGACCGAGCAACGCCGCGUGAGUGAAGAAGGUUUUCGGAUCGUAAAGCUCUGUUGUAAGUCAAGAACGUGUGUGAGAGUGGAAAGUUCACACAGUGACGGUAGCUUACCAGAAAGGGACGGCUAACUACGUG
rnacentral:rRNA from 1 species